GAAUGCUGACGCAAGGGGGUAUUACAGGUGACAUCCUGAAAGUACAGAGAAAAACAGAUUGGCUUUUGCGCUGAUUGUUUGAAGCCUGAACUGCUCCUAGUCUUUUUCUGUAUAAGUCUGUGAAAAGUCAUUUGGAGCUGUACAACUAUGCUAUUGCUAAGGAACUUUUAUUUUCAUCUGAGAGUA